GAGUGGGAGCCAGGAGGUCAGAAGUUGAUCCCUGAGUGAGGUUACCCUGUCGACUCGUCGAGGGGCCUCACCCAGGUGUGAAUGGUACGGAGCCGGCAUGCCUCUGCAGAGAUUGAAACCAAAGCAAAGCCAGCUGGAAACAGCUUCUGCGGGAGGACUUCCAGAUCUGCAUGGAAGGAAGGUGUGUGGACUGGAGUGAGCUGUCAUGUCAGUAUGCACAAUGUCAUCGACGGGUGCUGCCUUGCAAAGAAUCAUGCCCACUGCCCCCAGCAUGCUGUCUGCCUGUGGGAAGCCUGAGAUCUGUGAACUGAGGGAGCCGCUGUGGUCUACACAAGGGUCUCCUUGGGGAUGCACUGCAUUGGCAGAAGGAAGAGGCUCCUGAAAACUUGUGUGGUGUGGUAAACUGUGGUUGACUUGGCAAGGCUUCCCUGUAUAUGAAUCAAUGAUAUGUGUCACUCCACUCAAUUAAAAAAAUACUUCCAGCAGAAUUUCUCAAAUGGCUUGUAACAGUACAGAUUUUGCAUUUCAAGAGUCAGCUUUCUCUUGAAAGACUAUGAGGUUUACCAAUAAUCAUAUAAAAUCCCCCAUAUUACAUAUGAUUUUUAUUAUGGCUAUGACUGUAUAACAUCUAAUAACCUUUCUCCUAGAUGAAGAAAAUUAAUUGAAUCUACUCAUCUUCCAUCUACUAUCUUCUCAGUUUCAAUGGGGAAAAAAAAAGAAAAAGUGGAAAACAAAUUAUUUUUGUUUUAAGAGAAUUAAAAUAGCUAAGAAAGUAUGCCCUUCUAUACCAGUAAUGAUAGACCCUGCCUGGCUCCUACAGCGGAUACUGUUUCAAACAUUAUAACAUUUUGUUGAUGAACAUGCCCAACUGAAUUUCUAACCAUUCAUUUUCUAAAUUGUACUUUUUAAAACUUGACAAGACUCGUUUGGUUACUGAAUUAUAUCCUCUUCUGAAUUUCUUCCUUCUGAAAGUUCUUUUUUUUUUUUCCUUAAAGGGAUAUUAUCCUUGCUUUGCACAGUUUUCUUAAUGGUCAGGUGUUCUCAAUCUACUCCACAGCUUCACCAUUUCUACUGGUUAAUCUUCACAUCUGAAUCAUGUAUGUGCUGUGCUGUGUUGUGCUUAGUCGCUCAGUUGGGUCUGACCCAUGAGGUCACCACCCCAUGGACUGUAGCUCACCAGGUUUCUCUGUCCAUGGGGAUUCUCCAGGGAAGAAUACUGAAGUGGGUUGCCGUGCCCUCCUCCAGGGGAUCUUCCCAACCCAGUGAUCAAAACAGGUCUCCCACAUUGCAGGCAGAUUCUUUACCAUCUGAGCCACCAGGGAAGGCCUAACGGUGUAUGGUAAAGGCCAGUUUCACAAGCAAAAGGUAUUGCCUUAGUAACAAUUUACGAGAGAAGAAAACUGAGGAUCUGAUGUCAGAGGAGGUCUGGCUGAGACUCUGAAUUUUAUUCUGUGGUUUUCACCCUUUGAUUUUUCUUUAAAAGGAUCAAAUGAGAUACAAACCCAGGGGCCACAGGUCCAUCCUUCUGAGAGGUGAUAGUUAAUGCCCAACAGACAGAAAGGACCUCAUAAUACAAUGCGUGUUGUAUCCAACUUGAUGUUGGUCUACACAGAAAUUCAAAUACUGAAACCAUCUUCCAGGGCCAAGAAGGAAAAAAAAAAUUUUUUUUUUCAAUAUAGAUCUAGCCAACAUUAGGAUAUGUGUCAUUUUUAUUGUUACACUCGGUGUGCCCACAAAUCCCAAAGCAUGUUCCAUAUUAAGAUUUUGGCUUCUAUUAAGACCACAACUUUGGUAUGGAAAGGCAUGUCUCCUUUCAUCUAAGUAGGAAAGAAAAACAAAGUAAAGAACAAUAAAAAGCAAUAGAGGCCUGAAAUGUACCUAUUUCUACUGAUCUCACUAAUCAUUAAUAC
ensembl:lncRNA